GACGAACGCUGGCGGCGUGCUUAACACAUGCAAGUCGAACGGAAAGGCCCUGCUUAUGUGGGGUGCUCGAGUGGCGAACGGGUGAGUAACACGUGAGUAACCUGCCCUUGACUUUGGGAUAACUUCAGGAAACUGGGGCUAAUACCGGAUAGGAGCUCUCGCUGCAUGGUGGGGGUUGGAAAGUUUCGGCGGUUGGGGAUGGACUCGCGGCUUAUCAGCUUGUUGGUGGGGUAGUGGCUUACCAAGGCUUUGACGGGUAGCCGGCCUGAGAGGGUGACCGGACACAUUGGGACGGAGAUGCGGCCCAGACUCCUACGGGAGGCAGCAGUGGGGAAUAUUGCACAAUGGGCGGAAGCCUAAUGCAGCAACGCCGCGUGCGGGAUGACGGCCUUCGGGUUGUAAACCGCUUUCGCCUGUGACGAAGCGUGAGUGACGGUAAUGGGUAAAGAAGCACCGGCUAACUACGUG
rnacentral:rRNA from 1 species